UACGUAGGUGGCAAGCGUUGUCCGGAAUUAUUGGGCGUAAAGCGCGCGCAGGCGGCCUUUUAAGUCUGAUGUGAAAGCCCACGGCUCAACCGUGGAAGGUCAUUGGAAACUGAAAGGCUUGAGUACAGAAGAGGAAAGCGGAAUUCCACGUGUAGCAGUGAAAUGCGUAGAUAUGCGGAGGAACACCGAUGGCGAAGGCAAUCCCCUGGGCCUGCACUGACGCUCAUGCGCGAAAGCGUGGGGAGCAAACAGG
rnacentral:rRNA from 1 species